CUGAAUUUUAUUCAGGAAAACUUUAAGAAAAGAGAGUGCGUCUUCUUUACCAAAGAUCUCAAGGCCACGGACAACAUGUGUAAGUGUGGCUAUGCCCAAAACCAGCAUAUCGAAGGCACUCAGAUCAACCAAAAUGAGAAAUGGAAUUACAAGAAACACACCAAAGAAUUUCCUACUGAUGCCUUUGGGGACAUUCAAUUUGAAACAUUAGGGAAGAAAGGAAAGUACAUCCGUUUGUCAUGCGACACAGACCCGGAAAUCCUCUACGAGCUGAUGACCCAGCACUGGCAUCUGAAAACCCCCAAUCUGGUCAUCUCUGUCACUGGAGGGGCAAAAAAUUUUGCUCUCAAGCCACGCAUGCGCAAGAUAGUCAGCCGACUGAUCUACAUAGCGCAGUCCAAAGGGGCCUGGAUUCUCACUGGAGGUACUCACUAUGGUCUGAUGAAGUAUAUUGGUGAGGUGGUGAGAGAUAACACCAUCAGCAGGAAUUCCGAAGAGAACAUUGUGGCCAUUGGCAUAGCAGCUUGGGGAAUGGUCUCCAAUCGGGACACCUUGAUCAGACACAGCGAUGCUGAGGGACAUUUCUCAGCCCAGUAUAUCAUGGAUGACUUCAAGAGAGAUCCAUUGUACAUCCUGGACAACAACCACACCCAUCUCCUGCUGGUUGAUAACGGCUGCCAUGGAUUCCCAUCGGUGGAAGCCAAGCUUCGGAAUCAGUUGGAGAAAUACAUUUCAGAACGGGCAAUCCAAGAUUCCAAUUACGGUGGAAAGAUCCCCAUUGUGUGUUUCUCUCAAGGAGGUGGAAGAGAGACUUUGAAGGCCAUCAACACUGCCAUCAAAAAUAAAAUCCCUUGCGUCGUGGUGGAGGGCUCGGGACAGAUUGCUGAUGUCAUUGCCAGCCUGAUAGAGGUCGAAGACUGCCUGACAUCAUCCAUGGUCAAAGAGAAGCUCAUCAAGUAUUUGCCCCGAACCAUUUCCCGGAUCCCAGAGGAAGAAACUGAGAGCUGGAUUCGAUGGCUCAAAGAAAUCCUUGAAAACCCUCACCUGCUGACAGUCAUUAAGAUGGAAGAAGCUGGGGAUGAAAUUGUGAGCAAUGCCAUAUCCUAUGCUCUCUACAAAGCCUUCAGCACCAAUGAGCAGGAGAAGGAUAACUGGAAUGGCCAACUGAAGCUGCUGCUGGAGUGGAACCAGCUAGACCUCGCCAACGAUGAAAUCUUCACCAACGACCGCAGAUGGGAGUCUGCUGACCUUCAGGAAGUCAUGUUCUCAGCCCUGGUGAAGGACAGACCCAAGUUUGUCCGCCUCUUCCUGGAAAAUGGGCUAAACCUGAGGAAGUUCCUCACCAAUGACGUCCUCACAGAGCUCUUCUCCAACAACUUCAGCACUCUUGUGUACCGGAACCUGCAAAUCGCCAAGAACUCCUACAACGACGCGCUCCUCACCUUUGUCUGGAAGCUGGUGGCCAACUUCCGAAGAGGCUAUAGGAAGGAAGACAGGAGCAGCAGGGAGGAUCUGGACAUUGAGUUCCAGGAUGUAUCACCAAUUACAAGACAUCCCCUUCAAGCCCUGUUCAUUUGGGCCAUUCUUCAGAACAAGAAGGAGCUCUCCAAGGUCAUUUGGGAGCAGACGAGAGGCUGCACCCUGGCCGCCCUGGGAGCCAGCAAGCUGCUGAAGACCCUGGCCAAGGUGAAAAAUGACAUCAAUGCUGCAGGGGAAUCUGAAGAGCUGGCAAAUGAGUAUGAAACUCGAGCUGUGGAACUCUUCACAGAAUGCUACAGCAGUGAUGAAGACCUCGCCGAGCAGCUCCUGGUAUACACCUGUGAGGCCUGGGGCGGCAGCAACUGUCUGGAGCUCGCCGUGGAGGCCACUGACCAGCAGUUCAUUGCACAGCCAGGAGUCCAGAAUUUCCUUUCCAAGCAAUGGUACGGAGAGAUAUCGCGGGACACCAAGAAUUGGAAGAUUAUUCUUUGCCUGUUCCUCAUACCUCUGGUUGGCUGUGGCUUUGUGUCCUUCAGGAAGAAGCCUAUGGACAGGCACAGAAGGCUGAUCUGGUCCUACCUGGCUUUCUUCACGUCGCCCUUCGUGGUCUUCUCCUGGAACGUGGUCUUCUAUAUUGCCUUCUUGCUGCUCUUUGCCUACGUGCUGCUCAUGGAUUUCCACUCAGUGCCUCACACGCCAGAGCUCAUCCUCUAUGCCCUGGUCUUUGUCCUCUUCUGUGACGAAGUGAGACAGUGGUACAUGAAUGGGUUUAAGUACUUUACAGACCUGUGGAAUGUCAUGGACACUCUUGGAUUAUUUUACUUCAUAGCAGGGAUUGUCUUCCGGCUCCACUCCUCCAACAAAAGCUCCCUGUAUUCUGGGCGGGUCAUCUUUUGCCUGGAUUACAUCAUUUUUACUCUGAGGCUCAUCCAUAUUUUCACUGUGAGCAGAAAUCUGGGACCCAAAAUCAUUAUGCUACAGAGGAUGCUAAUCGAUGUCUUCUUCUUCCUGUUCCUCUUCGCCGUCUGGAUGGUUGCCUUUGGGGUGGCUCGUCAGGGCAUCCUGAGACAGAACGAGCACCGCUGGGAGUGGAUCUUCCGCUCGGUGAUCUACGAGCCCUACCUGGCCAUGUUUGGCCAGGUGCCCAGUGACGUGGAUGGUACCACUUAUGACCUUUCCCACUGCACCUUCACUGGCAAUGAAUCCAAACCUCUGUGUGUGGAAUUGGAUGAACACAGGAUGCCCCGAUUCCCCGAAUGGAUCACCAUACCCCUUGUGUGCAUCUAUAUGCUGUCCACCAACAUCCUGCUUGUGAACCUGCUGGUUGCCAUGUUUGGGUACACUGUGGGAACGGUGCAAGAAAACAAUGACCAGGUGUGGAAGUUCCAACGCUACUUCCUGGUCCAGGAGUACUGCAGCCGCCUGAACAUCCCCUUCCCCUUUGUGGUCUUCGCUUACUUCUACAAGGUGGUCAAGAAAUGCUUCAAGUGCUGCUGCAAGGCGAAGCACACCGGCAAUGCUGCUUGCUGUGUCACGAACGAUGACAACGAAACCCUGUCCUGGGAAGCUGUGAUGAAAGAAAACUACCUUGUCAAGAUCCACACCAAAGCCAACGACCAUUCGGAAGAAAUGAGACACCGAUUCAGACAGCUGGACACGAAGAAAAAGUCUCGUGGCAAGGGCAAAGGAUGCUUGGUGGACAGCCUGAGGAUGCCACUGAGAUCUCCUUAAUGUCAGCAAAAAAAAUCAAAGAACCCCCCAGAACCCUAACAGUAGGGAACUUCUGGGACCUGGGCAAGAAUUGCAUGGAUGAGCAGGCAGGGAUUCAUCGGGAUCAUCAUCAGUAGGGGGUAUUCUAGCUCUGGAGAUCGCCUAUCCACAUUUGAGGAAAAGGAGGACAAAGAAAGCAACCAUGUUCUACCAAGAAUGUUUCUUUGAAUUAGCGAUCUAGCCAGCGAGAAGCCAACUGAAUAGACAUUACUCUGAAUCUGUGUGAUUUUUGUCGCUUAUCUACAAAUCGGAUUUAUGAACUCAAACGAGCUGUGCCUCCCCUACCUGACAAUUAAGUGGAAUGCACACUACUGACAUUCUCUUGUUCUCAAGUACACAAUUUGUGUGUACAAGUUUAGUCUUCUAUUGUACAUUCGGGGAGCAGGACACCAGAUGGGCAGUGAUUGGUUUAGCUUCUUGGAAGCAUUAUUUUCUUGUAGACUCAACUCUAACAGCUUGUUGCACAUGAUCAUGCCUAACCCUGUACCUUCUGAGGGUGGUCUGAGGGAGGGCAGUGCUCAUUUGCUAAUGGCUUGCCCAUUUACCUUCAGGAAAUACGUGAUGGAGUAUGAAAUGAAUGAGAAUAAUCUAUGAUAUAUUGGCUGUCCUGAAUGCUUGAUUUCUACAUGUAUUCCAUAGAUAAAUCGUAAUUCGAUGUUCAGGAAUUUGAUUGGCUAAUUUGUAAUUAAUACCAGCCCUAUUUGUUUCUUUUUCAAAGCUGAAUGAUCUCAAAGGUCUUCUGAAAGAGAUUGCUUAUAAAAUCAAAUAACACCAAACAGUCAGAAAACAUCAUCUGCGACUAAGGACCAACUUCUAACAGAGACAUCUUGGGAUCACCAUCACCAAUGAAAAGAUGCCAGGAAAUCGAAUCACCUUUUUUGUAAGCAGAAAAACCCAAAAUGGUCUGCUGAGUGACACUUCUUUUAGCAGGAGCAUAAGGAGGGUUUUUAAGGGCUCCUGGCCCAACUGAUUCCUCAAAACCCAGGGCCACAUGUUUAUCCAUGAAGAUGGAUGUUGGCAGGGACAUUAUGUGUUUCUUGUUCUUCCUGACUCAACCUUAUCUCCUAGUCUGGUUCUCAAUAAGUACUUUAUUAAAUUUUCUUAUUUCAUAUUAAUAUUUCCUAUUAUUCAAUCACUUGUAAACCCCUGGAUCUCACAGGACAGUUUCUUAUCUAAGAGCUAGAUCAAGACUUUAUCUUCCAUUGGAUUAGUGAUGGUGCAAUGGAAAGAGUGCUAAAUCUGGAGUCAGAGAAACAGGGUUCAAAAUUCUUCUCUACUACUUACUAGCUGUAUGACCUUGGGCAAGUCAUUUAACCACUUGGGGCCUCAGCUUCUUCCAUCAAAUGUAACAUGAGUAGCUUGACCAAGAUGGCCUCCAAAGCCAUUCUUAAAUCAAAAUCUUGAGUUCUUCAAUGUUCUUGCUGUUGUGUUCCUGAUUGGCUCUCCUCUCCUACCACAUUCUCAUCACUUGACUGCUGAACCAUCAUAUUUCAUAAGUGGUCCCAAGCAUCCCAGAAGAGCCAUAUUGCUCAGUAAUAUUCUUAUUUUCAUGAAAACUCUCCACUCAUCAAAGAUGACCUUGAGCUAUGCCUUUCACAAAUUUGCAAGAAAUUACCUACUGAAGAGAAAGGAGAUUCUAGGACAGAGGCCCAUAAUAGCACUGAUUAUUAUCAAAAAUGUAUUUUCCAUUAAGGAAUGAUCAGAAGAUUUUUCUAAUUGGCUGACUGGAAACCCAUGGUCUAAUAAUAGGCUGUGUUGCCAGCAGAAGAUGAAUACUAGGAGCAAGAAUACUCUGGGCAGUUGUUCCCUUCUUGUUGUUUCCCAAAAUGCCUCUUGAGAGAUACAAAAAUGAAGAUAGGUCUUAGGGACACAGGAGCACGUAGAAAUGCUCAAAGAAAAUACUCAGCUCAUAGAUCAAAGGGGAAUAAAUGCAGUCAUCUCAGUGCUGGGAAGUCAAGGGAAUUAAACUGAAAAGUUAAUGUCAAACCUCACUGGGAGUCAUUGUACAUUCCUGCUGUUUUCAAAGCUCUCCAAGAAGAGAUGGAGACUUUGCCUAAGAAAAAAGCAUGGAAAGUUCAGGGGGAAUUAUAACCUGCUCUUGCUCAGCUUUUCAACUUCUGAAUAGCUCAUAAAUAUACCAGAGAAGCAGAGGAAGCUUGGAAACAAACUAUUAAAAAGUCAUCAUAAACAAAACUCCUAAAGCUUGAGCCAGGAAGAUUAACUGUUUAACAUCAACUGCCUCCGUUUCUUCAUCUGUAACACUGGAGGAGUUGGGCUUGGAAGUCCUUUCCAGCCUACCAGAGUAGGCACUAAACAGAUAUUUGUAGAGGAUUGGAUUGGAUUGAAUUGAAUCUGCUCAUUGAUAUUUUUACUGACUCUCCAUCACAAACCUCCAUUUUUGACAGGGAAAAUGGAACAUCCAGCCAGUAAACAGACUAAGACUAGAAAGCGGGUGGGAACUCCUUCUCACCUUAUCAAAGGUGAUUCCUGACUUAGAUGACUUUAUGGAGAGACACUGGGGAAAACCUCAGGAUUCACUCAAGGAAGAAAAGUUCUUUAAAUGGUGGUCUAUACAGUUUCUACAUGCCCUAGCUUGUCAAUGAGAAAAUGCUGGCUUUUUGAAGCAUAGCUGAUAAGAUGGCUCACAGGCGCUGUACAGUAGCUCAAACCCAAGGUGCUAUGUCCAUCCCUCUGUAUGGUACAUGUUUACUCAGUUCAAGUACUGGCAACAGCCACAUAAUCUAAAUAAGAAUGGAGUGCAUCUUGGCUUAAACAAAUUUAUCUACAAAUUAAAUAUCAUAUGAAUCAUAA